AGUAAACAACAGCGGACUGUACCACUACAAGAACAGAUAAACUGUCCCAAAGCACACAGUAAAAAAAUGAUAAGAUCCUCGUCUGCUUCUAGUAAAAACCAAUUUCUUCUAACUGCCUGUUCGAUCGUGGAAUUCAUGGCACGCCUAGCCGACCUACCAGUCAGCUAAAGCAGUGGAAAAAAAUCCACAACACAUGGAUAUGUAAGAGAACACGUUGCUGGAACAACUAGAAACAGCACUACACAUAGAAAGAGAGAAUGUGGGGGGAUUUUUCCUUGAUUGCAACACCAAGGAUGAUUUAGAAGUUAUAAAGCUGGAAAUCCCUUGAACAUCGGAUCACCUCUCUGUCCGAGAAAGAAAUAGCAUCCUUUUGGACGGUCCAUUCAUUACAAUCUUAUGUCCAAUGUGAGAGAGCCCCAAGAGGAUUACGCACAUUUAAGCAACCUGCCAUAUUUCAGGAUGAUGAAGUGUUUGUUAAAGCGUGAACUCAAGCCCACCAGGAACACGCUCUCAAACUGCUUCAGAUAGUUCUAACCUGCAAUCGCAUUGAACAUGAUAAGAUCUACGAACUGUUACAAAAAGCUAAAAUGGAAUUUAUAAGAAGGUCUCCACAAGCGCAAGCUGAAAGUUUUUUUGAAAAACUAAAAGAGAACCUGCUAUCCCUGCAAGAAGAACUAAAAAAAUUAAAAAAAAAGAGACAAAUUCAUCAGGGACAAAAGAGACUAGGACAAUGGAUCCGAAUUCACCUGGCAUAAUGCAGGAACAGAACAAAAAUCGAGACCCUACAAGUCUAGAAAUAUAAACAAAAAGUAUAAAUAUACUACUGCGGAUGAAAAAACUAAAAACGCAUCUACAGUACAGCAAUCUACAGACAACAAAACAGCAACUGCACCUGUCCCUUUAGAAGGAAACACACAAGGAGAGGAAGACCCAGCAGGACUGGAAAAGCAAACAGACCCAGACCCACCUGUACAGGAACAGAAGAGGAGACGAGCUGCCACAUGGAGGGGGAAGAAUUGAACUCUAAUGUCAUUAAUCUGACAAAUGACCCAUGGAUGCCGCAACUAUUUCUCUAUUGUCUAAAGGACUUAAUUAUGGACUCACCGAAUGGUUUAAUGAAGUUACUUUUGAGGUGGACCUAGCACGAGCAGUUCGGGACAUUAGUCUGCAUAAAUUUUUCACUAAUAAACCUGCACAAUCACAACAGCAGAUAUGUGAGGGUGAUAGUCAAGUGUGUAUAGGUCCUUUA